UCAGUCCCAGUAUUUUCUUCAUCGCCAGAAAAGAGAGAGUCACUUAAAUUAUCAGGAUCUUAAAGAGGAAAAUGAAAAAAGAAAAUUCUAUCAUCUAGCCGAGUAUCCUGCCUACUAUCAACUCAAAUGUCCCUGGAGAUCAUAUGACAUGGAAACAGUCAACUUUGCUCCAAAAACUUUAUACCCCAAAGUCAGUGUUUCUUCAAAGCCCAUUUGGGAAAUACAGAUGACAGCUGCUAUCACCAACAUUCCCUGCAGGUGUAUUGAACACUGGCCACCUGCACCUUUUCUAAACGUUAAAAAGAAUAAAAAAUAAAGCGAAUAAGCUGGAAAAUA